GCUUAGGGCUCUAGCAAUAUUGAUGUAAAUCUUAAACAGCCCAGUGGAAAGAGUGUGGGCUUUGGCAUCAGGAGAACCUGGGUUUAGAGCCUGGUGGGCCUUAGGAGACCAUGUUUCCUUUCUUGUCUGUGAAAAGAAUGGAGUUGAUGUGAAGAGUAGAGGACUCCACACGUGAUAACGAAACUGAGACUCCACGAGGUGAAGAAACAAGGGUAGAUAGAGAGGACUACGGGAGCUCGGAAUGAAACAGUGUCCAGCUGUUAUCAAGGAAGUGUGCCUUCAAACUUAAGAGUUCAGAUUUGGAUGUCAGCCAUGACAAUCUACCAAGCGGGGUGAGUAAUUCUGAUAGGUGAGAUUGUAUGCAUCAAACACCAUCUGCCUCUCAUCUUGUGUGGUCAGUUGCUCCAAACACCACUGGUUCCUUCCUUCGAGUGCCAUCAGUUUGGUCACCGAGUCGUUCUUAAUAAUCAUCAAAGGCUAGUGCCCUUCACAGUAUGUUUUAAAAUGCCAUGGAAGAAGAAUAAACACCCCUGCUUGCUCUAGCAACUGGAACUGAACAAAAUGCAAUGGUUCAGGACAUCUGUAGCAUUCUGGUGGAAGGCCACAGGGAAUAAAUAACCCAUGUUGGUUAUUUGAUGCAGUCGUAAGGGAAAUGAAAUUUUGUAUCGUUCUAGGGAAAAUGAAGCUGUGGAACCAUAUGUCUAUCAUAAGUACAUCUGUAGUCUUGAAAAAUUUUGCCUGCUCUUUCAUUUAAUGCUUUUUUCCAUAUAUGUACAUAUUCAUAUGUAUAC